UGCAGCUCCUGCGUUCCCUCCUCCUUCUCUCUCUCUCUCUCUCUCUGGCGCGCGGUGACCCCUCCCCUCAUGCCAUGGCUUCCUCCGACCUGGCCCGGCAGAUGCGCUAUCAAUCUGAUAUUGGAAUGAGAGCACCCUCUAAUCAACCAGUAAAUAAUCAAGAUGCAAGGAGGCAGGGUUGCCGACCCUUAUCCUUGUCUGGUCAUGUUGGUUUCGAUAGUUUGCCAGAUCAGUUGGUUAAUAAAUCUACCCAUCAGGGGUUCUGCUUCAACAUUCUCUGUAUUGGUGAGACAGGAAUUGGGAAAUCAACUUUGACUGAUAGUUUGUUUAAUACCAGUUUUGAUGACCGUGUGUCAACACACUUUCAGCCAAAUGUAAGACUUAAAGCUGAGACAUACGAACUCCAAGAAAGCAAUGUUCGACUGAAGCUGACCAUUGUCAAUACCGUUGGAUUUGGUGACCAGAUAAACAAGGAAGAUAGCUACCAGCCAAUAGUGGAUUACAUAGAUGCACAGUUUGAGUCUUACCUCCAGGAAGAGCUGAAAAUUAAACGCUCCUUAUAUAAUUACCAUGACACUCGCAUCCACGUGUGCCUCUACUUUAUUUCACCCACAGGGCAUUCCCUCAAAAGUCUUGAUUUAUUAACCAUGAAAAAUCUUGAUAGCAAGGUGAACAUUAUUCCACUUAUAGCCAAAGCAGAUACAAUCUCUAAAUCUGAACUGCAGAAAUUUAAGAUCAAAAUCAUGAGUGAGCUGGUCAGUAAUGGAGUCCAGAUAUACCAGUUUCCAACAGAUGAUGAGAGCAUUGCCAAAAUUAAUGCCAGCAUGAAUGGACAUCUGCCAUUUGCCGUAGUGGGGAGUACAGAAGAAGUCAAAAUUGGAAACAAAAUAGUAAAAGCUCGCCAGUAUCCUUGGGGCAUAGUGCAAGUGGAAAAUGAGAACCAUUGUGAUUUUGUGAAACUUCGGGAGAUGCUGAUUUGUACAAAUAUGGAAGACUUGAGAGAGCAGACUCACAUGCGCCACUAUGAACUGUACCGGCGGUGCAAAUUGGAAGAGAUGGGCUUCCGAGACACCGAUCAAGAAAACAAACCUGUCAGUCUACAGGAGACUUACGAAGCCAAGCGCCAUGAAUUCCUUGGUGAAUUACAGCAGAAAGAAGAGGAGAUGAGGCAGAUGUUUGUGCAGAGGGUCAAGGAGAAAGAAGCACUGCUGAAGGAAGCUGAGCGAGAACUACAAGUGAAGUUUGAACAUUUAAAACGGCUUCAUCAAGAAGAGAGGAUGAAAGUGGAGGAGAAAAGAAAGCUCCUGGAAGAUGAAAUGAGUGCAUUCAGUAAAAGAAAAGCUGCUUCAGACAUACUCCAAGGGAGGGCCCUGCCCCCCACACCCACGGUUGGUUUAAAAAAAGACAAGGAUCGGAAAAAGGAACAAGAUUUUCGGCUUGAACUGCUGUGUUUUGAUAUCGGAGAUCAGGAAGUUGUGAAUAUACAGGAAGCGAGAGAGAGAGAAAGAAAUUAGAAAGGGAAAGAACACCGUGACUAGAGCUUGGAAGUAGUUUGCAAAUGUUGUAUGGUUAGGCUCUGGCUUUAUGUGAAACUGAAGAUACAAGAAGAAAUUCUUCACAGUUCUCUGUGAUGAAACGUUGAUCCCCCCUCCCCCUUUUUUAAUGAAAGCGAACUUGAAAACUGAUCACUGCUUAAUCAAUGAAAAAGUAUAUUAAAAUGUAUAAUCAGUUUUGCAUAAUGUACUGUAGGGUUGCUGUUGCAUUAAUAUAUUUAAAAGGAUGUUUCUUUUAAGCUGCCAUUGAUAUGCACUUAAAGUAUAUAAACAUGGCCAAGUUGCACACACCAAAGAUUACUGUGCCAUAAAACAGUUUUCAUUUGAGUUAUGAGCACUGUAGUACAGAAGUGAAUAUAUAUUGCAUAUGUUUUAAAGAACUGGUGCCUUUUAUCCUGUUUUAGCUAUACACAAUUGAAUGCAUUUAUUCAGCUGAAUAAAAUAUGUAAACCUGUUUAAAUAACCACUUCCUUUCCUCAAAACGGACUUACAAAUGUCCUUUCUAGGUCUGUGAUAAUGAUAAGCUUUUGAAU